UUACGGCCAUAUCAUAUUAGACACGGGUUUCAUUACGAUCACCGAAGUUAAGCAAUGUCGAGCCUGGUCGGAACUUAGAUGGGCGACCGCUUGAGAAUAGCAGGUGUUGUAAG